rnacentral:rRNA from 1 species
CCUACGGGGGGCAGCAGUGAGGAAUAUUGGUCAAUGGUCGGGAGACUGAACCAGCCAAGCCGCGUGAGGGAUGAAGGUACAGAGUAUCGUAAACCUCUUUUGUCAGGGAACAAAGGCGGGGACGCGUCCCCGGAUGAGUGUACCUGAAGAAAAAGCAUCGGCUAACUCCGUGCCAGCAGCCGCGGUAAUACGGAGGAUGCGAGCGUUAUCCGGAUUUAUUGGGUUUAAAGGGUGCGCGGGCGGUCGUUUAAGGCAGCGGGAAAAGCCCGGGGCUCAACCCCGGCCCGCCGUUGAAACUGGCAGUCUCGAGUUGGAGAGAAGUAUGCGGAAUGCGCGGUGUAGCGGUGAAAUGCAUAGAUAUCGCGCAGAACUCCGAUUGCGAAGGCAGCAUGCCGGCUCCACACUGACGCUGAGGCACGAAAGCGUGGGUAUCGAACAGGAUUAGAUACCCGGGUAGUC